AGACCCGAAACCCGGUGAUCUAGCCAUGGGCAGGUUGAAGGUUGGGUAACACUAACUGGAGGACCGAACCGACUAAUGUUGAAAAAUUAGCGGAUGACCUGUGGCUGGGGGUGAAAGGCCAAUCAAACCGGGAGAUAGCUGGUUCUCCCCGAAAGCUAUUUAGGUAGCGCCUCGUGAAUUCAUCUCCGGGGGUAGAGCACUGUUUCGGCUAGGGGGCCAUCCCGGCUUACCAACCCGAUGCAAACUGCGAAUACCGGAGAAUGUUAUCACGGGAGACACACGGCGGGUGCUAACGUCCGUCGUGAAGAGGGAAACAACCCAGACCGCCAGCUAAGGUCCCAAAGUCAUGGUUAAGUGGGAAACGAUGUGGGAAGGCCCAGACAGCCAGGAUGUUGGCUUAGAAGCAGCCAUCAUUUAAAGAAAGCGUAAUAGCUCACUGGUCGAGUCGGCCUGCGCGGAAGAUGUAACGGGGCUAAACCAUGCACCGAAGCUGCGGCAGCGAACGUAUCACCCAAGACAACUUUACGGAGUUGACGAUUGACGGAGCGAAGCGACGUCAAAGCGUUCAUUAAAGUCGAGUUGGCUUAGGGAUACGUUCGUUGGGUAGGGGAGCGUUCUGUAAGCCUGUGAAGGUGUGUCGUGAGGCAUGCUGGAGGUAUCAGAAGUGCGAAUGCUGACAUAAGUAACGAUAAAGCGGGUGAAAAGCCCGCUCGCCGGAAGACCAAGGGUUCCUGUCCAACGUUAAUCGGGGCAGGGUGAGUCGACCCCUAAGGCGAGGCCGAAAGGCGUAGUCGAUGGGAAACGGGUUAAUAUUCCCGUACUUGGUGUUACUGCGAAGGGGGGACGGAGAAGGCUAUGUUGGCCGGGCGACGGUUGUCCCGGUUUAAGCGUGUAGGUGUGUGUUCCAGGUAAAUCCGGUUCACUUUAACACUGAGGCGUGACGACGAGGCACUACGGUGCUGAAGCAACAAAUGCCCUGCUUCCAGGAAAAGCCUCUAAGCAUCAGGUAACACGAAAUCGUACCCCAAACCGAC
rnacentral:rRNA from 1 species